CUUUUCUCUCGAUUCUUGGUG
rnacentral:miRNA from 1 species